GGGGGCAUAGCUCAGUGGUAGAGUGCCCGCUUUGCAUGCGGAAGGUCCGGGUUUCGAUCACCCGUGCCUCCA
rnacentral:tRNA from 1 species